rnacentral:rRNA from 1 species
AACGAACGCUGGCGGCAUGCCUAACACAUGCAAGUCGAACGAGACCUUCGGGUCUAGUGGCGCACGGGUGCGUAACGCGUGGGAACCUGCCCUUAGGUUCGGAAUAACUCCCCGAAAGGGGUGCUAAUACCGGAUAAUGUCUUCGGACCAAAGAUUUAUCGCCUUUGGAUGGGCCCGCGUUGGAUUAGCUAGUUGGUAGGGUAAAAGCCUACCAAGGCGACGAUCCAUAGCUGGUCUGAGAGGAUGAUCAGCCACACUGGGACUGAGACACGGCCCAGACCCCCACGGGAGGGAGCAGGUGGGAAUAUUGGAACAUGGGCGAAAGCCUGAUCCAGCAAUGCCGCGUGAGUGAUGAAGGCCUUAGGGUUGUAAAGCUCUUUUACCCGGGAUGAUAAUGACAGUACCGGGAGAAUAAGCUCCGGCUAACUCCGUG